CUGUACGGGAAGAGAGAGAAGAGAUGAGGUCACGGGCAGCCCGGGGGUGGAUGUGCUGUGCACUGGAAGAUGUAGGAGACAGUGUCUCAAUCUGAUUUGGACUCACAGCAACGAUCCUGCUUCGAUAUUCCAACCCUGGGGUUAGCAGCCUGAGCCACCAUGUGCAGCCUGACCUACCUGCUCUGUGUCGCCAAGCCCACCUCUCAUGUCCUCACGACCCACUCUCCAUGCCGCACACUCCGAAUGCUUCCCUUCUGUUCCACCCACGGCCACCCUUACUUUUCUACACUAGAGCUUUUCCUAUAAACAAGUCAAAAGGCCAUCUGCUUCCUCUACUGUAACUUUCAAAGCUCCCAUCCUUUUGAUUUUUUUUCAACAACACAGAAUAUAGAUCUAUUUCUGUUAUGUCACAAUCCCUCUCUAGGGGAAAUGUGGAGUGAAGAGAUGGAGCGAUCUGGCUGAGUCUGUCAGAAUACCAUCAUGGUCAGGCAUGGGGAUGGGAUUGGAACCUCGGUGACGAGUGUGUCUGGGGGGUGGGGGUUCCUGCUCGUGAAACAGCUGUAUGAGCACAGGUCAUUUUGGGGUGGGGCAGGGUACUUGCUCUAAAGGGAUUAGGAAAACUCCAAUUAUCUGAGAUUGUGUGGACAGAAUGGAUUUCCCCCUGUUCCUUUCCUGGGCUAAUUAAGCGAUUUCCUGAGCUUGUUUUAGAAAUGCACUUCCGCCCCAGCACUACUGUAGAAUUCUAGUUUCACUUUGUAGGGAAAGAAGAACAGAAACCGAUUAUAGCCAACGGGGAGGGAACAAAAUCACCGGCUCCAAGGCUUCUAGAAGAGCUAAAGUAUGUAGAGGCAUUUCCACACCUCCUUAGGGGAAGACAUGGUCCGACACCUAUUAGCUGGCCUUCAAAACCUUGCAGAACUUCCUCCUAUCAGUCCUGAAGAAUGAAACCUUAGUAGAUGAUAGAUACCUCAGGCCUGCAGGGAGUACAGAGAAGUCUGUAGAACUUAGGGCUGACUCGGCUUCUCCAAGUAGGGUAGGGCUUUCUAGGCCACUUAAAAUGAAGAAACACCGAGUGGACUUGCUGUUCGCCUGGCUCACAGCUGAGGCUGUCUAGACCCCUUUCAGUCUGUACCUCUGCAGGGUGGCAGGAUCGGUUCUGUGGUUUCUGGUGUGGACUAAUGCAUUGUUAACUCCCAGUGCAGUCAGUAAGGCACUCCCUGCAUA
rnacentral:sRNA from 1 species